rnacentral:lncRNA from 1 species
GAGAUGCUGCUCUAGGCUGCAGCGCGCUUUGUCAUUUGUCCUUCCGCCGGCGCCCAUCGUGAAGACCACAGUUUCCUGUCGCGUGGUUGUGUUUCCUCUCCGGCCAGUGCCAUCCGCCCAAAUCUACAGACAUCCCGCGUGUUCCCGGGCUGUCCGCUCGUCUCCCCUAUACAGGGCGCCAAGGCUGUAGACUGCGCAGCCCUUCUAGAGACAGACGGAAGCUCCGUGGGUUGACAGAUUACACCUUCUGGAGCCCCCUGUUCCCUUCAACUCCGUGAUGGGCAUCCACUGUCCAGGGAGAGGAUGCCUGGAAAUGACAGCCGGGGUCUACAGUGGCCAUAAGAGUUGUCCCCAUCUUGCUAGAUCGACAGACUGGUGCCCCCGAAUGAGGACUGUGCCCUGGGACAGGGGAUAUGGUAUAGUUGGAAGUUUGUGAAGUGCCAGGAGAGACGGUACACUCGAGUGCUGUGCCCUGGUGGGCCUUUGAACAGCCAGUGGCAGGUGCAGUGGAUCAUCAGCCCUGUCUCCCAAGAGCCUCGCCAGUCCCUUCUCCGGAGAGCAAGUGGCUCCACUGGCUGCUCCGGAGGCCAUAGCAGGAUUGUCACCUGUACUCAACAGUCCUCCUCGACUUUCCAGAAGAGGCUGGAACAGGGCCCUUGAAGAUGUUUGUGGACACCAGAGUGCCAAAGACCACGCUCAAAGUGAAACUGGAGACACCGCCCCCUCGGCAUCAUGAAACAGCUUUUUACUGUGCUUGGUCACUGGCUCAUACAUGGGAGAUUCCAGCAUACAAAGUCUUGACACCAACACCUCGGAGGGCUGUGUUCUGUCCCCAUGACCAUCUGCCAGUGCCUGGAAUGACUAAUGCCAAGAACUUGGUGCCAACUUCCUGUUACCUCCCUAACAGCUGUGCAAUAAAUCUCAUAGAUUAAUUCAGUCUGCCUUUUAAA